rnacentral:rRNA from 1 species
GACGAACGCUGGCGGCGUGCCUAACACAUGCAAGUCGAGCGGAGAUGUACUGAAGAUUUAUCGGAUGUACAUCUUAGCGGCGGACGGGUGAGUAACGCGUGGGCAACCUGCCUUUCACUGGGGGAUAACACAGGGAAACCUGUGCUAAUACCGCAUGACAUCACGUAGGGCAUCCUAUGUGAUCAAAGGAGAGAUCCGGUGGAAGAUGGGCCCGCGUCCAAUUAGCUGGUUGGCGAGGUAAAGGCUCACCAAGGCGACGAUUGGUAGCCGAACUGAGAGGUUGAUCGGCCACAUUGGGACUGAGACACGGCCCAGACUCCUACGGGAGGCAGCAGUGGGGAAUAUUGCGCAAUGGGGGGAACCCUGACGCAGCAACGCCGCGUGAAGGAAGAAGGUCUUCGGAUUGUAAACUUCUUUGAUGAGGGACGAAUAAAGUGACGGUACCUCAAAACAAGCCACGGCUAACUACGUGCCAGCAGCCGCGGUAAAAGUCACG